GAACACACAAUAACGAGCAAAAUAAGGUGUAUGAUGAUAUAUGU
rnacentral:guide_RNA from 1 species